GCCUCAUUGGCGCAAUUGGAUAGCGCAUUCGCCUUCUAAGCGAAAGGUUGCGGGUUCGACCCCCGCAUGAGGUU